GGCUCAUGGUCUGGGUUACACCACCAAAGGUUUACAUCUCUCUCUAAUAUUUUCUUCCUCUUCUCCUUUACCCUUUAUCCACAGGUACCAUUGUAUGCUGCUGGCUGAUAAGAUGCACAAAGCUGAUUUUUCUCUGAUAUUCCUCUGCUUUUGAGAAUACCAAGAGGCAAGUUGCCACACACAGAGGAACCAGUCCCUCUCAUAUACUUCAAGUACACUGCUGUCAUAGCCUUCUCUGGGAGAACAUAUGGACAUGGCACUGAUUUCACAUCUUUCAUCCCUCUGCAAUUAGGCUGAAGAAGCCCAGUUCUUUCAACUUGUCUUCAUAGGAGAGGUGCUCCAGCCCUUGGAUCCUUUUCAUGGCCCACUCUGGACGCUCUCCAAACCAAGUUUUUGGAAAUGCUCUCCAUGGAGCAAUCACAACAACUUCCAUCUGCCUGUUUUAAUGGCAAAAGAAGGACUGUGACUCAGACCCAUAUCAGAGGGCAGGAGGACAUUACAUAUUGACACAUGCUGUCAAUCCAUUUCCAAAUGCUGCUUGGGCUUUUCACACUACUGAAUGUUGACUUUCCUCAGACAAGAUAUGGCUCAUAGGAUAUUCAGACUGAAGUUCCGGGGACAACAGGGCCUCAAUGUUGUAAAAAGAGAUGGGGACCGAAGAGUAUAAAAUUGCUGUAUUGUCUCAGAGCAGCGUUUCGUUAAACCUGCUUGCCUACCUCUACCAGCAGGUGCUAGCAGAAGCUUGGGAAAGAUCACCCAGAACAUGGCACAUCUAUAUUGAUGCUUUCUCCUCAUAUACUUAUAGCUUUCGGGUGUCUGCGUCUUAAGGAAUCACUGAGAUAAUAAGUGUAUCCUUAUUCUGAUGUUCUGUCCUUGUUUGACUUUUCCUUGUGAAUAUGUCUGAUUGCAUUUUGAACAGUUUCAUACCUUUGAUUUCCAUUAGAUAUGUGAAACAAGUUCCACAGCUUAAUUAGGAGUUGUGCCUAAUCAAGUGUCUAUUCUAGGCUGGUCUACGAGCUUUUUUUUUUUUUCCCCUCUUCAUCUUAUUUCAAAGAGAUCUUUAGUGACUGGAAUUUCAAAGUUCAACACUUUUCUCAAACCGGAACAGCUGCCUGUUCCAUCCUUUCGCUGUGAUGCUCUGGUACAUGGGGUAAUACAUAAUUGCCCUCUGUGGAUGACAACUAAAUUCUUCAUUUACAUAUUAUUAGCAUUUUUGACUUAUCACUCAGAUAUAAACGGAGUCCAGUGCAACUUCAAGGCUGGAUAACACGAAAGCUGGUGCCAAACUUCCUGCAGAGGCCUGGAGGCAAAUAUGCUCAGAAUCAAUUGCCAAGCAGAUUUAACAAAAAACUACAGUGUUGUUACCAAGGAAGAUGGGAAAUAUCAGAGCAGACAGUGUCCAAGCCUUCCACACUGAUCUUGGCUACACUCCCCUUACAGGCAAGAGGAAGAGAUGAGCAUGUUGUCUGAUCAGGCUUAGCAUUCUCACCAAUGCCUGCUCAGAAGCAAAGUUCAGUCAGUAUUGUAGCAUAUAAAUAGUUACAAAAUACUAAUUUAUCUGUUAAUUACUACCAUGAAAAAGGGGGCAUUGUUAUCCCACUUAAUUACUCUGUGAUAUUUGUCUUAAAUACUUAACUUACAUCCAUAUAGCUGCAUAGCACAGAAACUAAGAGGCCUGAUAUAGCUUAGUGAAGACAGUAGCAGCCUAGAAUAUUGAGGCAAAAUGCCCUAAAUCCAAAACCAUACCCAUAUUACAGAUUUUUGAAUCAGUGUAGCAACACAGCUGUAAACCUGCUUUCUUGCUUAGACUGAAUCCAGGCUUGCCCUGAGGCAAUUAACUGCAGUAUGAAUACUUAAAUUGCACUGGUUAUAAUACCAUUUUACAUGGAGUACUGUGUUUCUCUAUUCCUUUUGCUGAUGUCAUAAACCAAGUUUUUUUAAGCGAUACAUUAUUUUUGCAAAUGAAAUAUGGAUUUUAUGCAUCUUUUUUGCUCUAUUCAUAGUGUUUCCUGUAGAAGAUUAAGGGACAAUUUCACUGCUCCAGAGACUAUUUCACUUAACAAAGAAAAUUAUAUACUGAAAAAUCAUACAUAUUCUACACAAACAAAACCAGGAAGAGGAAGGAAAGAAAGAAGUUUGUAAUGUCAGGCCUGCCGCUUUCAUGUUUCUCGUGUGCUCAGUUCUAGCAGCAACAGCAAUGGCACAGAGCUACUCCUCGGUUUUUACAUCAGAACAACAUACUGUGACUGUUCUGUGCUGAUGCGUGUGACAUUUUAGAGCACAAGCACACAUUUCUGAAACACGGGAAUUCCCUUCUCGUGGUUGGAAGGAAUCCUUAGAAGAGUCAAUGUUGAUGUGGGUCUGUCUGAUUGGGUAGAUAAGAAUGAAGGAUGAAAAUGCCUUCCUGAUGUAUUAGACCAUCCAUUUCUAUGGUUAGGAGGAUGACCAUGGCCAACACUUAAAGAAAAGCCUUCAGGUCUUGGUUCAUUCUCUGCUGGAGCCCAUAUCCCAAGGAACAUUGCAGAAGAAACAAAUUUUCGUUUGUAAGGGCUUUUCUACCACAUCAGCUAUUCCCAACUGUUUCAGCAAACAAUAGAGGCAAAUACAGUAAAGCUUUAUAUCAUCAGAUUUAUCCAGCACAGCAUGCUCCAAGGAGAUUAGAUGGAUCCAUCCAUAUCUGUGCCAUUUCGUCAGCCUCACUCCAACAGGAGAUCUUGUAAGAGAUGCACUGGCUCCCACAUGAGUAUCUUGCAUUCAGCUGCAGAAGGGCUGUUCUCUUUUGCUCUUUUGAGCCAGUGUGUUACAGUUGUAUGCUGCUGGGCCAAGAAUAAUUGUUUCAGUUUUCAAGGAAGGGGACAAAAUCUGGCUCUGGAAGACCAGUGAGAGCUAGUUAAUAGAGCUUAUUGGGAAAACAAUGUUGGAAUAGAGAAUCCACGUUCAUUACCAUUGACACAUACACAAAAUGGCAUAAUUUCCUCAGUAAUUUCCUUCAACAAAGGGGAACAAAAAGAGAAGUUGACACAUCUGGAAACAUUUUUACACAUACUUUUUUUUUUUUUUUCCCAUUUAAUUUCCAUAAAUUGCAUUUAAUUUUUCAAUUUAAUUUUUCCAUUUAAUUUUAUGAUUUACUACAAAAUCUAAAAUGGCCACAUUUCAAAAUGAAAUAUCCAGGUCGACCUGACACUAAUCCUUUAUGAAAUACUUUUCUGCAUAGAAUUCGGGAAGUUUCUGCUGCUGCCGUUGCUGAUGAGAACAAGUGUCCAUUCCAUUGCCGAAUGGAAUUUCCAUCUCUUGAAAGGCUCCAUUAAUGAACUGUUACUUUAAGGGGUCUGGAAGGCCAUGAUUUUUCUCACUGCACACUUGCAAGAAUCAGAUUAUCAGGUGGAUAACAGCAGCUUGGGGGAAAAUGGUUGCUAUAAGGUCUCAUUACUAGAAUGCUUGGCCUGAGAUAGCUUCUACUGAAUGGCUUCUGUAGUCAGCUAAUACUUUGUUACCUAGGAUUUACCUUUUGCUACUUGUUUUGUUCCCGAUGCACCUAGCAUGGACUCUCAUUAUUUCUCCGAUUUCUCACAAGGUUUUUUAAUAGCACAAUAUGGUGUAUGGUGAAGUUUAGAAUUGCACCCAUCGUCAUAUUACUGUUGCAAUGUCUCCCAUCACCCCUCCACAAUCCACUUAUUUUUCUCAUUUAUUUUUGUCUCUAAGCUGAUAGUCUCUUUGAAACAAGUACUGUCAUUUUCUGUGUGUAUCUUAAUGGCACCUGCCACAGUGAAAGACCAGGUCAGCUGAGAAAUGCUAUUAUAUAAUUUUGUAAUAAUUUUAAUUAUAAUCAAAGAGACAGAUACUUAUAGCAACUCAUAAAAAUGCUUAAAACAUUUCUGCUUUCUGCUUCCCUGU